rnacentral:rRNA from 1 species
GAUGAACGCUGGCGGCGUGCCUAAUACAUGCAAGUCGAGCGAACAGACGAGGAGCUUGCUCCUCUGAUGUUAGCGGCGGACGGGUGAGUAACACGUGGAUAACCUACCUAUAAGACUGGGAUAACUUCGGGAAACCGGAGCUAAUACCGGAUAAUAUAUUGAACCGCAUGGUUCAAUAGUGAAAGACGGUUUUGCUGUCACUUAUAGAUGGAUCCGCGCCGCAUUAGCUAGUUGGUAAGGUAACGGCUUACCAAGGCAACGAUGCGUAGCCGACCUGAGAGGGUGGUCGGCCACACUGGAGCUGGGCCGCGGUCCAGACUCCUGCGGGAGGCAGCAGUAGGGAAUCUUCCGCAAUGGGCGAGAGCCUGACGGAGCAGCGCCACGUGAGUGAUGAAGGUCUUCGGAUCGUAAAACUCUGUUAUUGGGGGAGAACAAAUGUGUAAGUAACUAUGCACGUCUUGACGGUACCUGAUCAGAAAGCCACGGCUAACUACGUG